GGGUUACUGGUUGAAGCAAGCCUCUAUGUCUCCGUAUGCAGGAUCUAUGUAUCACGGUUCUCCAUUGUUACACUCGGUACUUGGGCCACUCACUGUUAAAAGAAUUGAAGGGCACCCGGAUCAUGUGUUUUGCAGGCUUAUGAAGUGCAAUAUUGAUGUUGCCUCCAGAUAUACUUGCUUCAGGAGAUUUUGCUGCUCUUGUGUACUUUUGGAAUCCAUUCACAAUAGUUGCGUGUGUGGGUUUAUCAACAUCCCCAAUGGAAAAUUUGUUCAUCAUACUGACAGUUUAUGGGGCCUGUACACGAGUAG
rnacentral:misc_RNA from 1 species